CAUCUUCUCAGAAGCAUCACCCAGAGCAAAAGGAAGCCUAAAACAAGAGACAUAGUUUUCAGUUGGGGGCCAAUGGAAACAACUCUAAACAAAUGGGAUGAAAUUGGCCAGCUUGGCAGUUUGUGCCCUCCUGUGUAAGAAUUCUACUGCAGGCAAGCAAUUAUUUGCUGAACAAAUGCCCAACCUCCAAUGUGUCCUUGACCAAAACCCCUACCACCUCCAACACCCCAUCUGCUGUAUCCACCUUCACAUUCUCCUCCAAGGAGUCAGAGCAUUCCAGGAUACCAACUGAGAGCAGCCAGAAGAUUCAUGUCUAUGGCAAGCUUUCAUUCUUGAAAAAAUAAGGGAUUCAGUCCUUCAGUAACCUGCCCUGUGGUCCAGGAAGUCAUCUAGACCAUCUCUUGCAGGUGAGGACAACUGAGGCCCUCUGCUGGGAUCAGUUUUAAAGCACAGGAUGGCCUGACAGCACUCUUGCAGCAAAAAGCUAAAGUGUACUCACCUCGAUUUUUCUCAUCACUAGAAGUCCAUCAAUUAUUUUUCCUGUGGAAAGAAUCAGAGCUAAAUGAUAUUGUUUCUUGCGUGGUCUCUGCAUGUCUCUCCCCCCAUUGUAUAGCUGGCUCCAGAGAAGCCCAGUGGCUCCAUGGCAGAGGGCCAUAUCCAGAAUGGAGCAAAUUCUGCAUUUCAGACCCCUUCAGGACCUGAAGGAGGAGACAGCCCAUCAAUUGAACAGGUGGCAAAGGAAAGCUCCAGAAUAGCCCCACCCCUGAAAGCCCAAGUUGGCAGAAAGUUGGGUGUGGAACCUGGACUCACCAAAAACCACAUGUUUCCCAUCCAGCCAAUCACAUUUGGAGCAGGUAAUAAAGAACUGGCAGCCAUUGGUACUGGGGCCACUGUUUGCCUGAUUUAAAUGAAGGAAAGCUGAAGUGAGAAGAAAAAAACAGGGCUGCCUCUGUCCUAAAGGGAGAGCUGGGCACCUGUGGACCAGCCAAAGAAAGGAGCUCUCCAAUAACUAAGCCCCAAAACUCACACUGUGAACUCAAGAGGCCACAAGUCCAUGCCUUGUGUUUGUACUCUGCUAAUAUGGAGGCCACUAGAUAGAUGCUCCCUCAACUCCCUUCUCAUACUCCUCAGAACUUUCUAGUUUCAUCACCUAUUCUCUCAUCUCACUGUAAGAAAUAUGCCCACUCCUGGCUCUGGGCAAUACCUAGGUCCAUGGUCCUAUUUCUCAUCUCCCCAGGACAUUCCUCUAGCAAUCCUUACCUUUCCAGUGAUUCCUUACCACUAGCUGAUAAAAACACAAUCUCCUGAAUCCAAAGUUUUCUCGACCCUUUUUGUGGGUUUAGUUACCAACUACUCCAUUUUUUUCCUCCCUUUUACCACCAAACUUCUUGAAGAAGAAACUAUUCCCCCUUCUAUCCCCCCCCCCCCAACAUUCUCUCCUCAAUUCCUUGUGGCCUGGCCUCUUCUGUCAUAAAUAUGUCGAAAUGCUUUCUCAAAGAUCACCAGGGAUACCUUCAUCACCAAAUCCAAUAGUCGUUCAAUAGCUUUGUCAGUCAUCCUGACUCCUAAUCCACUCUGAUCCACUGAUUCAUUAAGGAUAUCCCUUCCUCCUUGGCUUUAAGAUACCACAUGCCUCCUUGGUUCAGUUUCUACUCUUAAAACUACUCCUCCUGCUUUUCUGCCUCCAUUUCCUUUGACUGGCAUCUUCAGGAGGGUGUUUCUUGAGAUUCUCGUCACCUCUUCUAAAUAGGUCCCAUUCUCUCCAUUUAUUUGUAUAACCAGCACCCUACUUUGGGACCCAUUAUCUCUAGCCUAGACUAUUCCAACAGCCUAUUAGGUAGCCUCCCUGCAUCAUGGGUUCCUCUACGGUAGCCUCUCCUCUACUCAGCUGCCAAAGCAAUAUGCUAAAAAGCUCGGGUCUGUCCUAGUCAUACACCUACUUGGUAAAUCUUAAUGGUUUCUUCAAAGAACAAAAUAUCAACUUCUGUUUGUUCUUGAAGUCCUUAACAACUUGGUUGAUUCUUACCUUUCCAGUCUUCUUAAACAUUCUUAAACAUCUUAAACAUAAACCCCUGCCCCCACCCAACACCCUCCAGAAUCCAGCAACACUGGUCUUCCAGUAAUUCCUCCCACAGGACCAUCUCUUUAUUCUGUAUCUUUGCACUGGCUGCCCCUCAUGCACAGAAUGCUCUCCUUCUUAACCUCUAGAAUCCCUGAUUUUCUUUAAAAUUUUUCUACAGGUGGCUUUUCCCAGUCUCUCCCAUGCUCCUAGUUUCCUAGCUAUUAAUGACUUUCCCUCUAAAGCCACUUCCUAUCUCUUCUGUGUCUUGUAUAUAGUGAUGCAUACAAGGCCUCUGGGCCAUUAGACUAUAAUGUCUCUGAAGGCAGGGGCUACCUUUGUGCUUCUUCUCUGUUCUGUAAAAUUCAAAUUGGUGUCCAAUACUUAAAGUAUUAUAUUUUUAUAAAGUCUAUUAUGUGACAAAAUAGAACCAUGUGAUUAAGUUUUUCUACCUGUUCAAAAAUCCCUGUUCCACCAAAGCCUCCACAGGAAGGAAAGAGACCUAGAGAUGGAACUACAACCAAUUUAUAUCCUGUCUACAUCAGCAUAUAACAACAGGAAGUGAGUAGGGUGCUGGGAAUCGUAGUUUUGCUAGGGAUCGUAGUUUUUAGGGUAACAGAUUCAAAUUAUAUAAUUCCCAAUGCUUAGCACAGUACAUACUUAAAAGAAUGUUUUCUGAUCGAUUGAUUUGGCCCUCUUCCCAUCUCUCUCUAUACUCUCCUUUGACAAAUCUCAUUCACUCUUCAGACUUUAGUAGAUGACUGAGUCUGGAUCAUCCACCAGCCUGGACUCUCUCCUGAGUUUCAGUUUCUAUAUCUAGCAGCAUAAAGGAUAUUUCUACAAGCAUGUCCUCAAUCAGCCCUUCAACCUCAAUAUAACCAAAACAGAAUUUGUCAUCUUUGUCUCUAAACUGACUUCCCUUUAUGAUUUUGCUGUUUGUGGCACUGCCAUUAACUUGGGCUCCUGUGGCUUCAAUUCUGGGAUUAUCCUUGAUCCUUUCCUCCUUCCCCACAUAGUCAAUCAAUAAGCAAAUCCUAUUGAUUCUAUCUCCCCAAUCUCUUUUCUGCCCCCUCCUCCAUUCCCAUUAACACUACUGUCAUAAUGGCUUUCACCACCACCACCUUUCUUAUAGUAAUUGCUUCCCACUGGGACUUCCUCCCUACCUCUCGUCUACCCUUCAUUCUGCUGUCAGACUUUCUGACUUACCUACUUUGGGUCACUUUGAUUAUGUCUCUAAUCAAAAUCACUUGUUAGUUCCCUAGGACAUAUGGUACCAAAUUUACACAGCCUAACCUGACUUUGAUGCCACUCUCCUGAGCUUAUGACAUACUCCUUCUCAUACUUUACACUCCAGCCCAACUGGACCCACUAUAUGUAUCCCACACUUUCCUGUUAUUCUAAACUUUUAGCCUAAAACUCCACCCUUUUCACUCUAGUGAUUAAGUUCUCAUUCAUCUUUUAAACCCUCAUCAAAUGUUACUUAGGAUUUGUUCCCUGAUUCUCAUCCCCUUAAUCUCAGAGGCAGCCAGCUUGUGAAGUGAAUGAAGUGCUGGACUUGAAGUCAAGAAGACUUGAAUUCGAAUACUGCCCCCAGAUGCUUAUUAUCUGUGUGACCCUGGGAAAGUCAUUUAACUUCUUUGCCUCAGUUUCUUCAUCUGUAAAAUAAGAGCACCUAUUUCACAGAAUAGUUGUCAUAAUUAAAUGAGAUGAUCCCCUUAAAAAAAAAAAA